UUAUCAAAUUAAUUUGGUGGGAGAGAGGUGGCUAAAAUAACUUCUACCAGUUUGAGCUGUUUGGGAGGAUAAAGAAAAGGCCCCUCUCUACCGUGGGCUAUGCUGCUUAGUAUCAUUCACCACUAUUUUGUGGCCUAGAUU